rnacentral:rRNA from 1 species
UAUAAUGGCCUUUAUACUGUAAAGGCACCAGAUCUCAUCCGGUCUUGAAAGCUAAGCACCUUGAGCCCUAGUUAAUACUUGGAUGGGAAAUUGCCAAUGAAUACUAGGUACUAUAGUAG